rnacentral:rRNA from 1 species
AUGAAAGUCAAAGAAUACUACCUGGCGGGUAGAAAAGUAGUUCUUAAAUCUGGUAACUUGGCUAGAGUGUGGGAUGAUUGUAUCGAUGGUGAAAAUCCCUUGCGUGUCCAAUUUCCUGAGCUUUACAGCAUCUGUAACGACCAAGGGGUCACGGUUGCAAAGUUUAAAAAUGGUGUAGAUGACAGCUUUUUUCGAAGGCGCCUCCAUCCCCCUCUGCUGGAGCAGUGGAGGAAUAUGAGUAAUAUGGUAUCCCUGUGGCCGACCUCUGACGAACCUGAUCAAAUU